rnacentral:rRNA from 1 species
GACGAACGCUGGCGGCGUGCCUAAUACAUGCAAGUCGAACGCAGUGGGGACGGGUGAGUAACACGUGGGUAACCUCCCAUCAGAGGGGAUAACACUUGGAAACAGGUGCUAAACCGAUACUGAUGGAUGGACCCGCGGUGGAUUAGCUAGUUGGGGAGGUAACGGCUCACCAAGGCCACGAUGCAUAGCCGGCCGGGGAGGAUGAUCGGCCACACUGGAACUGAGACACGGCCCAGACUCCUACGGGAGGCAGCAGUAGGGAAUCUUCGGCAAUGGGCGAAAGUCUGACCGAGCAACGCCGCGUGAGUGAAGAAGGUUUUCGGGUUGUAAAACUCUGUUGGUAGAGAAGCGGUAUCUAACCAGAAAGCCACGGCUAACUACGUGCCAGCAGCCGCGGUAAUAC